rnacentral:rRNA from 1 species
AUCUACGGCCACGCCAUCCUGAACAAGUCCAAUCUCAUCUGAUCUCGGAAGCUAAACAGGGCCAAGGCCUGGUUAGUACUUGGAUGGGAGACCAUCUAGGAAGACCAAGUGCUGUAGGCA